rnacentral:rRNA from 1 species
GGGCACGACACCGGAGAGGGAGCCUGAGAAACGGCUACCACAUCCAAGGAUGGCAGCAGGCGCGCAAAUUACCCAAUCCCGACACGGGGAGGUAGUGACAAUAAAUAACAAUACGGGGUUCUUUAGGAUCUCGUAAUUGGAAUGAGUACAAUUUAAACCUCUUAACGAGGAACAAUUGGAGGGCAAGUCUGGUGCCAGCAGCCGCGGUAAUUCCAGCUCCAAUAGCGUAUAUUAAAGUUGUUGCAGUUAAAAAGCUCGUAGUUGAAUUUCGGGGUUAGUAGGUUGGUCAUGCCUCUGGUAUGUACUGGUCUCACUGAUUCCUCCUUCCUUAUGAACCGUAAUGCCAUUAAUUUGGUGUUGCGGGGAAUUUGGACUGUUACUUUGAAAAAAUUAGAGUGUUUAAAGCAAGCUAACGCUUGAAUACAUUAGCAUGGAAUAAUGAAAUAGGACGUUCGAUCUUAUUUUGUUGGUUUCUAGGAUUGACGUAAUGAUUAAUAGGGAUAGUUGGGGGCAUUAGUAUUCAGUUGUCAGAGGUGAAAUUCUUGGAUUUAUUGAAGACUAACUACUGCNAAAGCAUUUGCCAAGGAUGUUUUCAUUAAUCAAGAACGAAAGUUAGGGGA